GCAGGAAGAAACAAAUAAAAUGUAAAUAAAGAAUAGCUUACCUUUAGACUUCGGUACAUGUUUUUUCCUAAAAAGGCAAGGAAGAUGAACACAAUAUGUAUACUCAGUAGUCGGGCUUGAUGACUUAACAACCUAACGACAACAGCAAAAGAAUACAUUAGAUUCAGAAAAUCAUCUAUUGUAACAAGCCAUGAAUCGACCAUUUGAAUUAUCUGUCGAGGAUAAUGACAACAACAGGAAAAACACACAUUAAAAUCACAGACCACAAAUUGACACAUGGGGUACACUCAAGUAAGUGUGAACAAAUGUACUUGUCAGAUAGUACUGUCAUACAACAAACUUCAGAAUUUAGUACAUCUCUGAAAUCAGGCCAAAGUCUCAUAACAUAAAAUCGUCUUCAGUUAGUAGUGUCGUAGAUCAAAUGUCAGUCAUCUUUCCAAUCACACAUAUGAGUAAAUUGCUUGAGAGAUAAAGCCAGUUGCUUGCUCUGAAACAAAAAGGAAACCAUAUAGCAGACAGUCAGUUGCUUUCUCCAAAAUGAAAGGGAAACAAAAAAGAAAUCAAUCUCAAAGCUUACCGCCUGAAUAAUCUUGAGAAUAGGAGGAUCCUUUAAUGUGAAGAUCCUUCGCAAAGGCCCAUUGAAAUAUACAAAGAUCAUCAACACCUAGCAGCGCAAAGCAUUCUCAUAUGAAAGUCUCUAAAUAUUACAUGGUACAUUUCCUCAAUACAGUAAUUGGUCCACUUUCAUGAACAUCAAUUCUAUGGUUUCCAUUGGUUGUAAGUACCAUGAUUUGAC
rnacentral:lncRNA from 1 species